rnacentral:lncRNA from 1 species
UAUUCUGGAAAGCGUGAAAUCGUCUUAUGCCAUUCUCAGUCUUCAUGCUGUAAUGAUUUCCAAUUUUACUGUGAAUAACAACCUUAACGGUAAGAAGUGAAAAGUGACGUGGCAGUCACCUAUUACACAAAACAAAAUCAAAACGACAUAGCAUUGAUAACAAACGUUCCCUAAUUUGCUCUUUCGGUCACUGAGCUUUCACUCCAUUUGGUCACUUCGUUCAUCUUCCUCUGUAUCUGAUAAGCAGUCAUCCUUUUCUUCUUGCUUCAAUGAACAACUCAUGAACUGCUUCUUCUCUUCUAUUAGAUAGAAUGAAGUAUCCACGAAAUAGAAAAACUGAUCUUUCUCCACCUUUAAUCAAUCUCAUCCCUCUGCUCUCGUUCGAUCACUGACCCAAAUUCAGAGCCGCAGACGACGACCCUUAUUAAAACCCAAUUAAAGCAAAGAGAGAAAACCCAUGUCCUUCAUCUGCAGUAAUUUCUAGGGAUUUCAUGAACCAUCAACUCCACCACCGACCAUCUGCAAAAUCGGACCAUACACAGUUUUCAUCACUCCUCAUCCAAAUCAAACCAUUGUUGCCGCUGCCACAGUUCCACCGCCACUGUCUUCUUCGUCGGCCAUCUACGGCACUCCAAUGAAGGUGGUUGCCCUAGAGCCCGCAAGAUCCACUCUUCCAACCAUCCCCGCUGGCUCCUCCUCCGUUCGAGGGUUCUUCCGCACUGCCGUCUCGAAGGUUCAACACGGUGAGACAGAAAAAGAGUAAAGUUUGUUCCUUUACCACUUCUUUACUCAUCUUUAGAAGUAAAGGUAGCCUCUUUUGGUAGAUUUUGAUUCAAGGUUUGAAGGAAGGAAUAGAGAUUUGGGGAGAUUGAUUAGUUGGUCGGAGGGUUGAAGGAAGGAAGGAAUAGAGAUUUGAGACUAUUAGCUACUCCGAGGAUUCAAGUAGGUCGGAGGAUUGAGGGAAGGAAUAGAAAUUUAGGGAAGACAGAUUAGCUGCUCGAUUCUCGGGUUGGGUUAUAGAGUAGAUAACCGCAAUUAUUCACUGUUGACUGGGUUUUUGAGCUAACAUGGACGACAAACGUGGGAAAAUAUUGUCUCGACUGAUUUAUUGACAUGAGUACCAUAUUAAAUAUAUGGGUAAACCUUUAAAACUUAAAGUUAUCGACCUGGUUUAAAGGGGGAGAGGUCAUAUAUUACCGAAUCACUCUAGUACCCCCACUGUUUAUGAUUUGGGCAAACGUGUCCUAUUGUUCUAAGGACUAAGGGUACCGAACUCAGAGGCCACAAUAAUUAGCUUCAUUUGCGGGUGAGCCGCAGAGCUUACUUGCGUUAGUGAAGGCCUGCCUAUAUGAAGAAGGAUGAACUAGAAAACAAGUGAUAACUUGGGAUGAAGUGUCAUUUGGUAACAAUGAUUAUGAUCGUUACUAGUGUUAGAGAUGUAAAUAUAAUCGCUUUUCUUUAAUAAUUAAUUGUUAGAAAACUGUUCUUGUUACAAGUUUGUUUGGUGAUAAUACCUACCAAGUGAAUAAUAUUUAGCGGUAGCUUAUCAUGUUUCUUUGUGUUACUAGCUGAUAUGAGGCAAGGAUAUUUGUCUUGAAGAAUAUAUGUGAUUGAAAGCGGGAAUUGGAUAUAACAGCAGCAAUCACAUCACAACUUCGUCAACCAAUUCAAAGUCAAUGUGAACAACAAGCAGUUGAACUUGGAACAAUAAACAUGGGCGGGCUAAUCAUAGAUACGAUUC